rnacentral:rRNA from 1 species
GUGAACGCUGGCGGUAGGCCUAACCCAUGCAAGUCGAACGGCAGCACAGUAAGAGCUUGCUCUUACGGGUGGCGAGUGGCGGACGGGUGAGGAAUACAUCGGAAUCUACUUUUUCGUGGGGGAUAACGUAGGGAAACUUACGCUAAUACCGCAUACGACCUACGGGUGAAAGCAGGGGAUCUUCGGACCUUGCGCGAUUGAAUGAGCCGAUGUCGGAUUAGCUAGUUGGCGGGGUAAAGGCCCACCAAGGCGACGAUCCGUAGCUGGUCUGAGAGGAUGAUCAGCCACACUGGAACUGAGACACGGUCCAGACUCCUACGGGAGGCAGCAGUGGGGAAUAUUGGACAAUGGGCGCAAGCCUGAUCCAGCCAUACCGCGUGGGUGAAGAAGGCCUUCGGGUUGUAAAGCCCUUUUGUUGGGAAAGAAAAGCAGCAGGUUAAUACCCCGCUGUUCUGACGGUACCCAAAGAGUAAGCACCGGCUAACUUCGUG